GUAGGGGGGCAAGCGUUGUCCGGAAUUAUUGGGCGUAAAGCGCGCGCAGGGCGGCUAUUUAAGUCUGGGUGGUUUAAACCUUGGGGCUCAACCUGAGGUCGCACUGGAAACUGGGUGGCUUGAGUACAGAAGAGGAAAGUGGAAUUCCACGUGUAGCGGUGAAAUGCGUAGAGAUGUGGAGGAACACCAGUGGCGAAGGCGACUUUCUGGGCUGUAACUGACGCUGAGGCGCGAAAGCGUGGGGAGCAAACAGGAUUAGAUACCCUGGUAGUCCACGCCGUAACCGAUGAGUGCUAGGUGUUAGGGGUUUCGAUACCCUUGGUGCCGAAGUUAACACAGUAAGCACUCCGCCUGGGGAGUACGGUCGCAAAGACUG
rnacentral:rRNA from 1 species